AACUUACUGAGGAGCCAGAAUUAGCAAGUAAAAUAGACAUAGUUUGGAUAGUAGGAGGCAGUUCUGUUUAUAAGGAAGCCAUGAUUCAACUAGGCCAUAUUAAACUGUUUGUGACAAGGAUCAUGCAGGAAUUUGAAAGUGACACUUUUUUUUUUUUCAGAAAUUGAUUUGGAGAAAUAUAAAAUUCUUCCAGAAUACCCAGGUGUUCUUUCUGAGGUACAGGAGGAGAAAGGCAUUAAGUACAAAUUUGAAGUUCAUGAAAAGAUUGAUUAAUAUGAAGAUGU
rnacentral:lncRNA from 1 species